CCUACGGGAGGCAGCAGUGAGGAAUAUUGGUCAAUGGACGCAAGUCUGAACCAGCCAUGCCGCGUGCAGGAAGACGGCUCUAUGAGUUGUAAACUGCUUUUGUACGAGGGUAAACGCAGAUACGUGUAUCUGUCUGAAAGUAUCGUACGAAUAAGGAUCGGCUAACUCCGUGCCCGCAGCCGCGGUAAUAAGGAGGAUUCAAGCGUUUUCCGGAUUUAUUGGGGUUAAAGGGUUCGUAGGCGGUCGGAUAAGUUAGAGGUGAAAUCCCGAGGCUUAAAUUCGGAAUUGCCGCUGAUACUGGUCAGCUAGAGAGUAGUUGCGGUAGGCGGAAUGUAUGGUGUAGCGGUGAAAUGCUUAGAGAUCAUACAGAACACCGAUUGUGAAGGCAGCUUACCAAGCUACUUCUGACGUUGAGGCACGAAAGCGUGGGGAGCAAACAGGAUUAGAUACCCCUGUAGUC
rnacentral:rRNA from 1 species